rnacentral:rRNA from 1 species
CACAGGUGGUCAGGUAGAGAAUACCAAGGCGCUUGAGAGAACUCGGGUGAAGGAACUAGGCAAAAUGGUGCCGUAACUUCGGGAGAAGGCACGCUGACACGUAGGUGAAGUGAUUUACUCAUGGAGCUGAAGUCAGUCGAAGAUACCAGCUGGCUGCAACUGUUUAUUAAAAACACAGCACUGUGCAAACACGAAAGUGGACGUAUACGGUGUGACGCCUGCCCGGUGCCGGAAGGUUAAUUGAUGGGGUCAGCGCAAGCGAAGCUCCUGAUCGAAGCCCCGGUAAACGGCGGCCGUAACUAUAACGGUCCUAAGGUAGCGAAAUUCCUUGUCGGGUAAGUUCCGACCUGCACGAAUGGCGUAAUGAUGGCCAGGCUGUCUCCACCCGAGACUCAGUGAAAUUGAACUCGCUGUGAAGAUGCAGUGUACCCGCGGCAAGACGGAAAGACCCCGUGAACCUUUACUAUAGCUUGACACUGAACAUUGAGCCUUGAUGUGUAGGAUAGGUGGGAGGCUUUGAAGUGUGGACGCCAGUCUGCAUGGAGCCGACCUUGAAAUACCACCCUUUAAUGUUUGAUGUUCUAACGUGGACCCGUGAUCCGGGUUGCGGACAGUGUCUGGUGGGUAGUUUGACUGGGGCGGUCUCCUCCUAAAGAGUAACGGAGGAGCACGAAGGUUGGCUAAUCCUGGUCGGACAUCAGGAGGUUAGUGCAAUGGCAUAAGCCAGCUUGACUGCGAGCGUGACGGCGCGAGCAGGUGCGAAAGCAGGUCAUAGUGAUCCGGUGGUUCUGAAUGGAAGGGCCAUCGCUCAACGGAUAAAAGGUACUCCGGGGAUAACAGGCUGAUACCGCCCAAGAGUUCAUAUCGACGGCGGUGUUUGGCACCUCGAUGUCGGCUCAUCACAUCCUGGGGCUGAAGUAGGUCCCAAGGGUAUGGCUGUUCGCCAUUUAAAGUGGUACGCGAGCUGGGUUUAGAACGUCGUGAGACAGUUCGGUCCCUAUCUGCCGUGGGCGCUGGAGAACUGAGGGGGGCUGCUCCUAGUACGAGAGGACCGGAGUGGACGCAUCACUGGUGUUCGGGUUGUCAUGCCAAUGGCACUGCCCGGUAGCUAAAUGCGGAAGAGAUAAGUGCUGAAAGCAUCUAAGCACGAAACUUGCCCCGAGAUGAGUUCUCCCUGAGACUUUAGGUCUCCUGAAGGAACGUUGAAGACGACGACGUUGAUAGGCCGGGUGUGUAAGCGCAGCGAUGCGUUGAGCUAACCGGUACUAAUGAACCGUGAGGCUUAACCUUACA